rnacentral:rRNA from 1 species
GUGAGGAAUAUUGGACAAUGGAGGAAACUCUGAUCCAGCCAUGCCGCGUGAGUGAUGAAGGCCUUCGGGUUGUAAAGCUCUUUCGGGUGUGAAAAUGAUGAUGGUAACACCAGAAGAAGCCCCGGCUAACUCCGUGCCAGCAGCCGCGGUAAUACGGAGGGGGCGAGCGUUGUUUGGAAUCACUGGGCGUAAAGCGUGCGUAGGCGGUUAUACAAGUCAGGAGUGAAAUCCCAGGGCUCAACCUUGGAAUUGCUUUUGAGACUGUAUGACUAGAGAUCUAGAGAGGUUGGGGGAAUUCCGAGUGUAGAGGUGAAAUUCGCAGAUAUUCGGAGGAACACCAGUGGCGUAGGCGCCCAACUGGCUAGAUACUGACGCUGAGGCACGAAAGCGUGGGGAGCAAACAGGAUUAGAAACCCUAGUAGUCC